GUACGUAGGGGGGCAAGCGUUAUCCGGUAAUCGACUAGGGCGUAAAGGGUGCGUAGGCGGCUUAGCUAAAGCCAGGGGUGAAAGGCAAUUCGGGCUUACAACCAAUGUAAGCCUUUUGGAAACUGUUAAGCUUGAGUGCAGGAGAGGGUAAGUGGUAAUUCCUAGUGUAGAGGUAGAAAUUCGUAGAUAUUAGGAGGAACACCAGUGGCGAAGGCGACUUACCUGGACUAGUAACUGACGCUGAUGCACGAAAGCGUGGGGUAGCGAAACAGGAUUAGAUACCCUGGUAG
rnacentral:rRNA from 1 species